GAUAGACUCGAAAGUCUAUAGUUUAGUCUGCUGCUUUAGUUUUUGUUUGCUGCAAUAUUAUUCAUUUAUUAAUUGUCAUUUAAUAAGUCAAAUUAGUGCUUGAUUUUCUCAGCAAAUCAUGGCUAAUAUAUUGUAUGUAGUGCCGUUGGUGGCCUUAGAAAUAGGAUCAAGUUGUUUCAUUCUUUUUCUAUUUAAACCUUUUGUAUUUUCAGCAGAAAGGAGGAAAAAAAAUAUAUCAAUUAAGAGAAAAUCUCUUUGGUUCAUUCUCACCAUAAGUAGAAUACUAUCUUGGCUUUGACUGGGACCUAUCAGUGGUAUCAAAUGAUAGACUCGAAAGUCUAUAGUUUAGUCUGCUGCUUUAGUUUUUGUUUGCUGCAAUAUUAUUCAUUUAUUAAUUGUCAUUUAAUAAGUCAAAUUAGUGCUUGAUUUUCUCAGCAAAUCAUGGCUAAUAUAUUGUAUGUAGUGCCGUUGGUGGCCUUAGAAAUAGGAUCAAGUUGUUUCAUUCUUUUUCUAUUUAAACCUUUUGUAUUUUCAGCAGAAAGGAGGAAAAAAUAUAUAUCAAUUAAGAGAAAAUCUCUUUGGUUCAUUCUCACCAUAAGUAGAAUACUAUCUUGGCUUUGACUGGGACCUAUCAGUGGUAUCAAAGCCGCGUUAUCUAUCUUUUUUCUUUCUAUUUCUUUUCGAUCCCUAUGGCAACCAAUAAGGAACGAAUUGAAAACUUGGAAGCUGCUGUCGGGCAACUUCAAGAUUCCAUUAGCAACAUGGGUCAAGGGCUUAACGAAAAAUUGCAGCAAAUUGAAAAAGCCAUCUCGAAGUUCUCUGAGAUGACUCUUCCUACUAAAGAAGGGACCAGCAGUGUCGGUGACCAAACCAGUCAGGUUCGCGACAAAUAAGUUGGACCUAGGGAUGGAGGUAAACCAUUUUAUUCUGCGAAAUUGGCAAAAUUAGAAUUUCCUAAAUACUCUGGGGACGACCCAACCGAAUGGUUCACAAGAGUGGAUCAAUUUUUUGAGUACCAAGGAACUCCAGCUGCCGAAAAAGUUUCCUUGGCCUCUUAUCACCUUCGAGGAGAGGCGAAUGAAUGGUGGCAGUGGCUUCGCCGAACUCACACUGAAGCGGGGACAACAGUGACGUGGGACAUAUUUUCUGAGGAAUUGUGGUCUCGUUUUGGGCCCACUGAUUGUGAGGAUUUUGACGAAUCCUUAUCAAAAAUUCAGCAAACAGGACCCCUACGUGACUAUCAACGAGAAUUUGAAAGACUGGGUAAUCGGGUUAAGGGAUGGACGCAGAAGGCGUUAGUGGGAUCGUUUAUGGGAGGUUUGAAGUCUGAAAUUGCCGAAGGAAUUCGAAUGUUCAAACCGAAAACGUUAAAAGACGCCAUCAGUUUGGCUCGGAUGAAAGACGAGCAAUUACAACGACAAAAGUCAGAUUCUAAACAUGAAAGUGUGUUGUCUCCGACAAGGAACAAGCCUAGCACUCCAUUAAAGCNNNNN
rnacentral:lncRNA from 1 species